CCGCUGAUAUUGAUGAUGCGGCCCCAGCCCUGCUCGGCCAUCAGAGGCGCAACCUCGCGGGCCAUGCGCAGAUAGCCCAUAACCUUGACGUUGACGUCGCUCCAGAACAUCUCGUCGGUAAUCUCGCUCAGCGAUGGCGGCUUCGCCUGCCCGCUCGGCUGCGCCGCGCUGUUCACCAGCACAUCGAUCCGUCCAAAGUCCGAACGGAUCGCGGCGACGGCGGCGCGCACCGCCUCG
rnacentral:misc_RNA from 1 species